UGUUCCAUCUGAUGUUUGGACGUGUUUGGAGUUUCUUCCUUCUGGUGGGUUCCUGAUCUCGCUGGCUUCAGCAGUGAAGUUGCAGACCUUCACGCUUUGAGAACUAGAUUAAGUAAUUCCUGCAAGGCAAACCAAGUGAUGAUGAGCUCUCUCAGCUUCUGUUUGUCUGAUAAACUUUCUAUUCUCUCUCACUUCUGAAGGAAAGCUUUGCCAGGGUUUCAUUCAUUUUAAAGCUAACAGAAAAACAACAGAUUUUUAUAAUUAAGUUCCUGAGAAACCAUGAUAAAUACAGCAUUACACAUACUGUCGAUGAUAUUUUGGAUUUUGUAAGACACCAGAGAUCAAAACAUGCCAAAUUGGACUUCUUGUCAUUGUCUAUACAAACAAAACUCACAGACAUCAAAGCCACUAUGACCAUGCUGCUGAUGCAAGGACUGGUGUGUGCAAGAAAGUUUGUAUUUGGAACCAUCUCUAUCUUACACUUUUCAAAGUAAGAUAACCUAGGUACUUCCUACUUAAAACUCACAUGUCAAUAUGUUUUUGUGCUUCUCAAAACCUUCCUGGGCUAAGGCACAUGGAGCAAAUGUUAAUUUGCUCAAGAGUCCUGUCCUUUGCCUGUGUUUGUUACCAUUAAACUAUGACAUGGGCAUCAUGGCUUCUCCUGAAGUCAUUGUUUAUGCUUUCAUCAUAUUAUUCUCCCUUGCAAAUGCUAUUGUUCCUGAGUAUAAUAAAUCACCGGAUUUCCUUAUCGCAA